rnacentral:rRNA from 1 species
UACGUAGGGGGCAAGCGUUGUCCGGAUUUAUUGGGCGUAAAGAGCGUGUAGGCGGCCAAGCAGGUCCGCUGUGAAAACUCGAGGCUCAACCUCGAGACGUCGGUGGAAACCGUUUGGCUAGAGUCCGGAAGAGGAGAGUGGAAUUCCCGGUGUAGCGGUGAAAUGCGCAGAUAUCGGGAAGAACACCAGUGGCGAAGGCGGCGUCCUGGCCUGCGACUGACGCUGUGGCGCGAAAGCUAGGGGAGCAAACGGG